rnacentral:rRNA from 1 species
GUGGAUCACGUGGCUAGUGUGUCGAUGAAGAGCGCAGCCAACUGUGUGAAUUAAUGUGAACUGCAUACUGCUUUGAACGUCGACAUCUUGAACGC